rnacentral:tRNA from 1 species
UCCCUGGAGGACUAGUGGUUAGGUCACAGCACUCUUACUGCUGCAGCCCGGGUUCGAUUCCCGGCCAGGGAA